GUUGUGGUGAAAGGACGUCGUUCGUUUGUGAUACACAGUUUUAACUUUGAAAAACGCAGUGUUCAUUAAAAGAAUGAUUUCGCAAAGACUUACCUUAAUCAGAAACGCUGUUAAAGCACCUGAUCCAAGAGAGGAAGAAUCCGAAUUAGUUUCUUUUGAAGAGACCUUGAAUACAGUGUUAAAGAUCCGAACUACCCAUCGUCUACUUCGAGCGAUUCGGAUUCUUCGUCUAGUGACUCUGAGUCUUCGUCGAGUGACUCUGAACCUUCUAGUAUGCCAACAACAACGGCUCCGGAAGAGUUACAUUCAACUCGGUCAGUUAAUGAGGUGCAGGGUACAAAUUCACUAACUGAUACUACAAAUACAGGCUCAAGCAGCGACAAUAGAAGAAACCUUACUCGAAAAAGGCAAAGAAACGAACGUAAGUGGUUACGUAUAAAAGCAAAAAGAUUAAGAAAUUCUGGGAAAUCUUACAUCACUAGAAAAAAAAAUCAAACCAGAUAAGAAAAUGGGACCACCAUGCACAGAAAAAUGUCGCCAAAAAUGCUAAUUGAAAAUAUCUGAAGAGGUGAGAACAACGAUUUUCCAAAACUAUUACAAGUUAUGUGAUGUAAAUCGGCAACGUCAAUUUAUUGUUAAUAGUACUGAUGUAGUUUCAAAACAGUCAAAUCAAAGUAACUAUACAAAGGCGGCGAAAAUGAGGGAGACACGGCCCACUCUCUUAUUGAAAGAAAAAUAAAGGCGUCGCUUAAAUCUGGUCCAAUUUAUUCAGCAGACCAAUAUUAUGCUUAAAUUCGUACUGCCAAAGUAAGUGGUCAGCCCUUUGCAAUUGCUUCUUUGAUAUUAAAGCCAUGUCUAACAAGAUAGGUAAGACAUUACCACAAAAAAAUAUUGACAAGGAGCCUGUUAAAAUAACAGAAAUGAAGGUCAUUAAAGUGACAGCAGAAAACAAAGACUCUUUUUUUUAUAAAAGAUCUUACUCUGAAACUGAUUUUAAAAGAGGUAAAGUUGUUCUCUGCAAAUCGUCGAAGCAAACCCGUUUUAGAAAAUAUUGCACUUCAACAACUUUAUAAUGAGAAAAUUAAAAUAACGGAACAAAAAAAGAACGGGUUUUUAAGUUUUUGAAAAAAAUCUUAUUCCUCGGUAUUAUAGAAGCUUUUAUGAGAACCUUUAAUUUUUUUUUAGUUACUUUGAUUUGACUGUUUUGAAACUGUUUACAUGUUUAUGAUUGUUACCACAUUGUAACGUAUUUUUUUAGAAGUACUUUAUGUUUUUUUAAGUCUAAUUUUCUCUUUUGUAUAAGUUUUUGUGAUGAUUACCUAAGAUUUAAUUACCUAUGAUUAUUUUUAUUCUGUUUCCUCUAAUCCUAGUCGAAUUAAACUGAGACUAAAUAACAUACACUGUGAAAUUGUUGUAACGCUGCCAUCGUUUAAAAAUUUAUUCUAAGUAAACAAUACAAAAAAAUGUUACUACUAAUUAGUUACCUACUAUAAAGCCAACGACGCCAACGGUCUUUAGUGUGUUCAAAAGUGUUGCUAGUGAUUUAAAAUGUUUAUUAAAAUACUAAGACUGAUGUUAAAACUAUUUCAUAAGUGAUUUAUUACAAUAAAUAAACGUUUAAUUACUUUAUAAUAAACAUUUAAGUGAAA